rnacentral:rRNA from 1 species
UAACACAUGCAAGUCGAGCGAGGUAGCAAUACCUAGCGGCAGACGGGUGAGUAACAUGUGGGAAUCUGCCUUUUGGUUCGGAACAACACGGGGAAACCUGUGCUAAUACCGGAUAAGUCUUUACGGAGAAAGCUUUAUGCACCAUUGGAUGAGCCCGCACUUGAUUAGUUAGUUGGUAGGGUAAUGGCCUACCAAGACUGUGAUCAGUAGCUGAUUUGAGAGGAUGAUCAGCCACACUGGUACUGAGACACGGACCAGACUCC